rnacentral:misc_RNA from 1 species
GGCUAUUUUGGAUUACUGAACGAGUGGAGUCGGAUUUUGCGCGGCGGCAAAUUCUUAAAGUAGUCGCACAAGUUAUAUCUUAUUAGUUAAAUCUAUUAUACUCGAAUUAAUAUUACGAUAAUUGUGAUAAAAAACAAUAAAUAAAAUCUAUUAGGUUCUUUUUAUGAAUUUUUUAUACGAGAAUGAUAUUAACGAGUAAAAUUUCUUUUUUAAAAAUGCGUUUAAUCAUGCUUGAUUGUUAAAAGAACAAUUCGAACGGGUCGCCAUCUUAUACGUUAACCGACCAAUCAAAGAUAAGAAUUAAGUGACGUUCAGUAGAUUCGAGGUGUUUGAUCGUCACACAAUUGUACCUGGAAUCUUAAUCGAACCCUUUAUUCUUUGGUGUUUCAUUCCAGGAGCUCGUUGCGUAUAUUUAAAUAUUACUUGAAUAGUGGUACGUGCAUUAUAAAAAGAAUUCAUUUUUUAAAUAAGAUAAAUUAUAUAUAUUCAAGAUGAUAUCCAAAGUACUCAUGGAGUUACCAACAGUACCAUUUCCACAAGGAAAAAAACCAUCUUCACAUGAUAUAACUUUAAACAAGAAGACCGAUGGAAUGAUACAAACUAGACAACAAAAUAUGAACGUAGAUAGAGCAACUCAAUUAGAGCAAAAUGUGAAAUUUCUACAAGAACAACAUCAAGCAACUUUGCUUGCUUUACAUCAAGAAGUUGAAAUGUUACGUCAAAGAAAUAGAGAUUUGCAAUUUCAAUUGACUUUUUCAAAAGGAACAACUUGUAUACCUAGCAGUCCUUCUUCCCCUGAAGAUAAUGGAAAUGGGUUCGCUAAACCAAAGGGUAGCCCAGUAUCCAUGAACGUCACACCUUUGAAGGUUGAACUUUUGGAAAAAGAAUUGCGGGAUGUUAAAGACUCAUUACAAAGUGUUAAAGCAUACAACAAAGUUUUAACGGAAGUUAUAUUAAAGCAACAAGAACACGUGGAGGAAUUAGGAAAACAAAAUCAGAAAAUAGAUGUGGCAAGUGUAGGAAUACAAGUAGGAAGCAAAUCAGAAUCUGCUCAAGAAGAUAUAGUAGCACGUUUGGCAGAUGCGCAUGAGGUGAUAAAACAAUUGCAUAUGGAAAAUAAACAUCAACAAAAGGAAAUUGCAACGUUAAAGGCAGCAUCAGCAAAUAAUGGAGACACAGAGCUACUCACAUCGCAGUGUUCAGAGAAACGGAAGAAAUCGAUAUGACAGACUGGAUCUUCACUCAGACGUUGAAAAUACUGCAUUACCACAGCUUCAAAAUGAUUACUAUAAUCGUAAAUACAGAUGUCAAGAUUCGCAAAGGGAUCGCAGAGAUUCUGUGAAUCGUUAUUACAGACGCGAUUACAAAGAUAGA